CACCUCUCAGGGUCGCGUUUGGAAAGUUUUCAUUACUCUACCAGUCUCGACUACAGGAGGGAGAGUCAAGUGGAGGCCUACCCAUUCCAUUCCUAGCUUGGGCAGUAGCUAGCGAGUGGAAGGCCAUCUGCUACAAGU